rnacentral:lncRNA from 1 species
GAGAAAGACACUCUUCCAAUAACGUCUCUUUUCUGAUUUUCUGCACUCAGCUCUGGGCCCAGCCACUGUAAAUGUACUCUUAGCCCAGCCACUCACUAGCUGUGAGUGUGACCACUGACAAGUCUCUCAACUGCUCUGUGCCUCAGUGGACCCAAAUAUGACCUGAAGGUACUUCCAGCACGAAGCAGCCAAGACUAAAGGGGUAAAACCUGUCACUGAGCACUGAGAGGAGCCACACAGGAAGCACAGGAGCCAUGUGACAGGAAAGCUGUGGACAAGGACAGUGCCUUACAGUCAGUCACUGACCGCCACCAACCAGGGCAUGGACAUUAGAAAUAACUGUUUAAACAAGAGGAAAGUGAGUGUGCCUUCUCUAAGUGGGAGGGUCAGGGGCAAGGCCUGAAGCGGACAGACUUUCUCCUGUGCAAGAUGGACUGCCUGAGGAGACAAGGCUGGGCAGAGCCGUGGGUUCCCCUCAGCGGGGCCAGGCUCACCGUCAGGGGUUCCCACCACGGGCUCAGACGCUGUUCCUGGGCUACUGAGGUUUUCCCCACUCAGCCCCUCCAUGACGGCAGCAGCAUCUGGGACAAGGACAGCUGCAGAUGUGACUUGAUUCUUGCUUGAUGAACAUGUUUCUGAGGGUCCCACGGGGGGUGGGGUCCAGCGGGGCACGAAGGUGAUGCCUUCCUCCUCCAGCUGCCGUAGGUAGUAUUCAAUGAUCUCCUUCCCCUUUAAGGUAAGACAGCUAGGGUGAGCAUGGCCCCCGGCAGCCAGACUCCCCAGUUCACACAACAUCACCCAGACGGGAACUUGGGAGUUGUGGAGGAAGCUCUGCGGUGGAAGGCUGGCUUCGUGCACAAGGCCCUGAAUCCAAUUCCCAGCCUCACCUACCCACCCAGGCAAUGGUUCUCACUGGGUGACACGGCACACACUUGUAACCCUAAUGCUUGGGAGCCUGAAGAAGGAUUAUGAGUUUAAGUAAAUGUGGAAAUCUGUCUCCACAAAUAAACAAACGACUAAAGAAGGCGCGAGCUGUGGUCAUUCUCUCAGACUCCCGCCUCCCUUUUCCAUAAAAUCCCAAGAAAGCCACUCACUUUUUUAAUGUUGCUUGUAUAAUGUUUCAUGGCAAUUUUUUCCACUGUACUUUCAAAACCAAAGAAGGAUUUGAUAUCUAAACUUGCAGACUGUUCGAAACAGGUCCAGUCUUCAUUCUCAGGGUGAACCUGCAGGCGGGGAGAAGCCGUUCCCAGUAAUGCUCUCCAUGGAGACACAACUUGCCUGUGCCCUGGCUAGCAGACCAGCACCCAGAGGAGAGAUGUUGUUUUUUGGUUUUUGGGGUUUUUUUUUGUGUGUGUGUGUGGGGGGGGGUUCGAGACAGGGUUUCUCUGUAUAGCUCUGGCUGUCCUGGAACUCACUUUUGUAGACCAGGCUGGCCUCGAACUCAGAAAUCUGCCAGUCUCUGCCUCCCAAGUGCUGGGACUAAAGGCGUGCGCCACCACCUCCCGGCUGAGGAGAGAUGUUUAAUGACAUGAGGAAGGAGGAAAGCAUGGCAGAAAGUUGCCCAGACGCAGCUGACAUACACAGGCGCUAAUAACUGUCUCAGGACCGUCCCUGAAUGCCUGACUACAGCUUUCACCUCUGGCUCUCUAGUCUGCUAACUCACCCAGCACCUGUGGUGGCUCCACACAAACAGAAGAGCCACACUCUGUGCCAGUCAGGCUCCAGAGACAGAGGCACUGCAGAGAUGAGAGGUGAGAAAGUCACAUGGCUAUUUGGGAGGCAGUGCUAUGGAUAAAGGCCAAGCAGGGGGAGGGGCCAGCAAACUGGAGUGGCUGGAUGCCAGGCAGAGCAAGUAGUGGAAGGCUGGUGCGUGAGGAGGAAGGGACAGAGUUAAGUGUGGCAAGGGUUCGGUGUGUCACUGGGGUCUCUGUGGCGGAUGGUACAGGAGGCUAACAGCUGAGACAUAGACUAAGAGGGGUUAUUCUCAUGCUCUGGGGUCUAUGCAGUGUAGAGCAAGUUGGACAAGUGCUCAGAGCUCUACCUGCAAAGACACACAAACCUCAGCUUCAGCGCACACUUGUGAAGUGUCACACUAGGUCAGCGCACACUUGUAAAGUAUCACACUAGGUCAGCGCACACUUGUAAAGUUAUCACACUAGGUCAGCGCACACUUGUAAAGUGUCACCCUAGGCCAGAAAAAACUCUCCAUACUUAGAACCAAUCAGGAAGUUGGCCUUGGUACUACAUGCUUUUAGUCUGAGCCCUUGGGAGGCAGAGGCAGCUGGACCUUUGUGAGUUCCAGCCCAGUCCACUCCACAUAGGGAAUUCAGGCCAGCCAGGGCUACAGAGUGAAACCCUGUUUCAAAACACAAAGCAAAUUCAUCAGGAGCUGAGUGUCAUGGUACACACGUGUAAUUCAGCACUCAGGAGACAAGGCAAGAAGACAGUGGCAAAUUAAGGCUAGCCUGGUCUACAUGGCAAAUUCCAAGAUAGGGUACAGAGUGAAUCACUGCUUCAGAAAAAAGAACAGUCAAGCCAUCAGCUGGCAGCCCUUGACUGUCACACUAAGACAACCCUCCCCUCAGAACACCACACCAAGUCCCCACUGUACCACUCAUCUGAAAGGAGAAACAGCAGUGGCUAAAGGACAGAGCGCCACCCUACCCUGUUGUCCCCACUGGCCGCAGGGCCCCAGCAAGCUGCUGCCAUGACUCACCGUGUAACAGCAGUGUUCGUGGAUGAUGACCCGGUUAGAAAAUGUCUCAUUGUGGGCCUCGAUGUGCAAAGUGCGAUCUCGAGAAUUCAGGGAGUUUUUCUGGACAAAAUAAACGUAAUCGACUCCUGCGAUCUGUGAAGAAGAGAUAAGGAGGGAAGGCGGUCAGUUCCCCAGCUCAUGGGCGAGCAUGAGUUCACCCACAAACCCCCACAGUUUCCCCAGCUACCUUCUUCAACAGCCUGGGCGCAUCUAUAUCCAGCUUGCAGCGCCUCUCGAUGACAUGAAGAGCCCCAUCCUCACUCUUGAACUCGCUCACAGUGUCACUGUCCACGAACAUUGGAAUCAGAGGACAUGUAGGAAACCUCCUCUCAUAGGCCUGAGGACAGAUGACAGUGAGAGAAAAAAAAUGACAGCUGUCACUGCUGCACCUUAGACUGCAGUACAGCUGAUCCUAUGAAAGAAGGACAAUCUGGGUUCAUGGACUGGAGCUCUGACCUCCGGAGGAUGGCGAUUUUGCCCACGUAGGCAUGCGUGUUCCAGCAGGCUUUUCUAGUACUAAAUGCAAGAUGACCUUCAAAUCUAUAUGGUAAGGCAAAAGAACCAACAUGGCUAGCGUGACUGUGAAAGACAACAAACAGGAAGUGUCCCCUCAAGCUAGCAUCCUAUGGCCAGAGGCCGGCUACUCAGUACUGGAGAUGCAGACCAGCAGGCAACCAGACCCAGCUCAUCGCUCCCUCCCUCGCCUCCGAGAUGCAGCUCAGUUGAGUGUGUGCAUGCUAUCCCUCCCUCUCCUCCGAGAUGCAGCUCAGUUGAAUGUAUGCAUGCUAAGAUCCCAUUCAACUGACCUGCAGCUUGGGUUCUACCUAAAUCAUUUUCCAUAAAUGUAGAAAGAAUUAAAUGGUAGAAAAAAAUAGGUGGCGCACGCCUUUAAUCCUAGCACUUGGGUGGCAGAGGCAGGCAGAUUUCUGAGUUCGAAGCCAGCCUGGUCUACAGAGUGAGUUCCAGGACAGCCAGGGCUAAACAAAGAAACCCUGUC